rnacentral:miRNA from 1 species
ACUUUAGUAUAAGUAUGUUCCAUCUAAUACUUGGGAUAUGCUUAUGCUAACA